AAAGAUUAAGCCAUGCAUGUGUAAGCACAUGCCUUAAAACGGUAAAGCCGCGAAUGGCUCGGUAUAACAGCCACUGUUUAUUAAACUCUAGUUAUCUACUUGGAUAACUGUGGCAAUUCUAGAGCUAAUACAUGCACGCAGGCUCGGACCUUUUGGGAAGAGCGCAUUUAUUAGACCAAAACCAAUCGGGCUUCGGCCUGUGUUUUGGUGACUCUGAAUAACUAAGUCGAUCGCACAGUCUUAGUACUGGCGACGUAUUUCUCAAAUGUCUGCCUUAUCAACUUUCGAUGGUAGGUUAUACGCCUACCAUGGUUAUAACGGGUAACGGAGAAUUAGGGUUCGACUCCGGAGAGGGAGCCUGAGAAAUGGCUACCACAUCCAAGGAAGGCAGCAGGCGCGCAAAUUACCCAAUCCCAGAACGGGGAGGUAGUGACGAAAAAUAACGAGGUAAUCCACUUUGUGGCUUGCCAUCGGAAUGGGCACAAUAUAAAUCUUUUAACGAGGAUCUAUUAGAGGGCAAGUCUGGUGCCAGCAGCCGCGGUAAUUCCAGCUCUAAUAGUGUAUAUUAAAAUUGUUGUGGUUAAAACGCCCGUAGUUGGAUCUUCGGUCUUGAAGCUCGGUAGCCCGUAAGGGCUUAACUGAGUCUUCUGGCCUCGAUUCUAGUUUUCUCCUGAUGCUCUUUAUUGAGUGUCUCGAGUAGCUAGGAAUUUUACUUUGAAAAAAUUAGAGUGCUAAAAGCAGGCUAUACGCUUGAAUAAAGUGCAUGGAAUAAUGGAAUACGACUUUAGUCUUAUUUUGUUGGUUUUCGAGAUUAAAGUAAUGAUUAAGAGGAACAGCCGGGGGCAUUUGUAUUGUUGCGUUAGAGGUGAAAUUCUUGGAUCGCAGCAAGACAAACAACUGCGAAAGCAUUUGCCAAGAAUG
rnacentral:rRNA from 1 species